rnacentral:misc_RNA from 1 species
UCAACCCUCAAGCACAGCUUGGUGUUGGGACUCGCGUUAAUUCGCGUUCCUCAAAUUGAUUGGCGGUCACGUCGAGCUUCCAUAGCGUAGUAGUAAAACCCUCGUUACUGGUAAUCGUCGCGGCCACGCCGUUAAACCCCAACUUCUGAAUG